ensembl:lncRNA
UGAAGCAUGCUAGGCCAGCAUUCAGUGCUCACAACUUAGCAUGUCACUAAAACAAACCACUGAUUUGAGUUUAAACAAACGAUCUGUGUUCAGGUCCAGCGCACUGCACUUUCAAAAUAACUUUACUGGCAUUAGCAUUCGCAGAGUAAAAGCUGUAAUGUUCGGCCUUCUGUUAUUCAAGAAGUCACGCAUGAACAUUUGUGCUGCUAGCUUCUAUGAGCAGCAAGCUAUAUUUUUAUUUUAUAGACAUCCUCAACGUGGUAUGUCCAACAACUUUCUGUCUGCUUGUUCGUCUAUCUACAACAUAAGCAUCACACAGAAGGAAAGGCUAUACUGCCACCUUGUGGUUACUCAAUAGAAUGCCUAUCAUUACAUCCCCUUUCCAAAGUUAUAAAACAAAGGUUAACUAAACAGCUCUUUUUUUUUUUAACUUAACUUUUAACUUUGCUUGUAAUAAAGCCUUACGAACAUGCAAAAAGUCAAAAUGUUGCACGAUACAAGUACCUCAUAAAGAAAUAACAAUAACAAGGCACUCUACUCUAAACAACAAUGUAAAGCAUUAUACUUUUUCAAUAAGUCUCUCAGGUGGUUUUCUAGGUCUAGUAGACCUUCUGAUUGGUUCAGUCAUUUGAGAGGCUGUGGUAUUAGGCUCAGCUUGGUGUGCAUUCGGUGUAUCAUUUUGUUUUUCAGAUUCAGUUUCACCGUGUUUGUCAGUGUCCUCAUGAGUCUUUAACAGACUCCUCCUGUUUCUCCUCACUUUUUGUCCAUCCUCUGUUUCCACAACGUAAGAUCUAGGUCCGACUUCACUGAGCACGGUCGCUUUUCUGUCCCAGCAAUUAGGUCCCUCGAUUCUCACAGUGUCCUUUUCACAAAGAGGUUCCAGACUUUUUGUAGCUCUGUCAUAGGCCAUUUUUUGUCUGAUUUUGAGUCUCUUUUUGUUGUUAAUCCAGUUGUUAUUGUCUCGUCCUGGUUGCAAUUGUGGUAGCGUGGUGCAGCUCUGUAGCUAAGUAAAGCAAGGUGAGGAUCAGUCUUACCGUCCUUGGCUUUCUUCAGUAGUCUCUUUACAAUUUGUACUCCCUUUUCAGCCUGACCAUUGGCUUGUGGGUACAAUGGGCUUGAGGUAACAUGCUUGAAUCCGUAGUACUUCGCAAACUCUUUAAACUCUCCACAGUCAUACUGCGGACCGUUGUCACUCACAACACAUUGUGGGAUUCCGUGUCUGGCAAAGAACCCUUUCAUGUGCACUAUAACAGACUGUGCGGUGGUGCUGGAGAGUUGCGCAAUCUCAGGGUAGUUCGAGUAAUAGUCUAUAACAAGAAGAUAAUCCUUGCCAUACAGAUGAAAUAAAUCUGUGCCCACCUUUUGCCAAGGGGCAGUGGGAAGGUCAGCCACCAGCAUUGGCUCCUUGACUUGUUUGUAGUGGUGUCUGAGGCAGAUGUCACAUUUCUCAAUCAUUUCCUCUAUGUCUUUGUUGAUACCUGGCCAGUAGAUGGCUUCACGUGCUCUUCUCUUACAUUUUUCCACUCCCAGGUGUCCUUCAUGAAGACGUUGAAGCAUGUCCUUGCGCAUGGUCUGUGGGAUAACAAUCCUGUUCUUUCUCAGCAGGAGUCCUUUUGACAUACACAGCUCUGCCCGCACCGGGAAAAACUGUGGGCAAACUCCUUUCGACCAGCCGUUGUUUACACAGUGAGACACUUUGUGUAACAUGGAGUCUUUUGCUGUCUCUUUAACAAUCUGCUGCAGUAUGGUGUCUGAUGCAGGCAGUGAGGCAGUGACCAUGUUGAUGUGUGUUUCAAUAUCUUCUGCUGCGGUGUUCUCAGCUGUGCCACUGUUGAGUUCUGGUGCUCUAGAAAGUGUGUCAGCAAGCACUAUGUAUUUACCUGGCGUGUAUAUUAGGUCAAAGUCAUAGCGCUGCAAUGUCAUCAUCAUACGUUGGAUUCUGGGCGACAUGUCAUUGAGAUUCUUUUUACGGAUUGAUAUGAGUGGUUUAUGAUCAGUUUCUGCUGUGAAUGUGGGCAGUCCAUAAACAUAAGUGUGAAAUUUCCCACACCCAAACACUAGGCCCAGCGUCUCCUUCUCAAUCUGAGCAUAGCGUUUUUCAGUCUCAGUCAUCGAUCUUGAUGCAUAUGCUACAGGUUGCCAUUUUUCUUCAUUCAUUUGUAGCAAUACGGCUCCUAGUCCGUCUUUUGAUGCAUCAGUGGAGACUUUGGUUGGUUUUGUUGGAUCAAAGUAGGUUAAAACUGGUUCAGCAGUCACAGUUCUCUUCAGUUCUUUCCAUUCUUUUUCAUGUUUUGUGGUCCACUCAAAUGCAACGUUGUGAUGCAGCAGUUCUCUGAGGCAUUUCGUUUUUGAGGAGAGGUUGGGAAUGAACUUACCCAGAAAGUUUACCAUCCCCAUUGCUCGCAAAACUCCUUUUUUAUCAGUUGGAGCUGGCAUAUUCAGUAUGGCUUGCACUUUUGUUUUGUCUGGAAGCACGCCGUUUGCUGUGAGCUUGUCUCCUAAGAAUGUCAUUUCUGUCACUCCAACAAGACAUUUCUCUCUUUUUAGUUUUAGUCCAUACUUUUUCACUCUCUGUAACAGCUUCUCAAGUCUCUCAUCAUGUUGUUGUUUUGUGUUUCCCCAGACAACUAUGUCAUCAAUGUACACUCGUGUUCCUUCCAGACCCUCUAUGAUUGACUCCAUAGCUCUGUGAAAGAUCUCUGGCGCUGACUUGAUGCCAAAUGGAAGCCUCAGAAAACAGUAACGCCCAAAUGGUGUGUUAAAGGUGGUGUACCUGCUGCUUUCUGGGUCCAGUUUCAGCUGCCAAAAUCCAUGCGAGGCGUCUAAUUUGCUGAAGUACUUUGCACCGGCCAUGUCACUCAGAAUUUCUUCUCUCUUUGGGAUUUGAUAAUGUUCUCUUUUAAUAUUUUCAUUCAAAUCUUUAGGAUCUAGGCAGACACGUAACUCAGGGGAGUUUCUUUUUUUAACACAUGUGAUGGAAUUUACCCAGUCUGUGGGCUCUUCCACUCGCUCGAUGACUCCCAUCUGUGUCAUUCUGUUCAGUUCCUUUUUAAGUCCUUCUUUAAGAGGUGCUGGCACUCUCCUUGGGGCAUGUACUACAGGUUUAGCAUCUUCCUUGAGCUGUAUUUUGUAAGUGUAAGGUAGUGUACCAUGUCCUUUAAAGACAGUCGCGUAUUUGUUCACAAUACUUGUACUACCUUCGCUUUGUGACAGCAUUUUGAUUUGAUUGUCUAUUUUUAUGUUAUCACUGUUGAUCUGGUAGAUCCUCUUGACUAGUCCAAGAUCUUCAGAUGCUUUGUCUCCAAGGAUCGACUCGUGUCCACUUGGCACUAUUGUAAACAUCAAGUGGUGUUGUCUGCCUUUUGCAGUCAAUUUGAGCCUACAACUACCCAUAGUUUUUAUUGGCUGAUUGUUGUAUGCUUUUAAUGACAUUGUCUUGUCUGCAACUCUUUUUGGUUUCUCUUCAAGAGCUUUCAGAUCAUUUUCAUUGAUCAAGUUGGCUUUGGCUCCGGUGUCAAUUUUGAAGGUUACUAGUGUCCCAUUGACUAACAGCGGUGCAGUCCAUUUAUCAUCUUUUACUGCACGUACAGCAUGCUCUGUGUCACUUGCAUUUUGGGGCUGUAUGUAGCUUUUCUCACAUGACACCAUUUUGAUGAAAAAUGUCUCGCUCAAAUCAUCACUGUCAUCUGGGUCAUCCUGCACUAUGUGUAUUUUUUUUCUGGUAUGACACAUUUUCGCAUAGUGAUUUUGCUUUUUACACUUUGCACAUGUUUUUCCAAAUGCAGGGCAUUGUCUCGGUCUGUGCGUUUCACCACACUUCUUACAGUCAAACUGUGUUUGAUCAUCGUCUCUCUUUUUGUCUUUUUGUUUGAACUUGAAGUGUGAUUUUCCUUUCAUUUUCACUACAUUCACGGACUCGCUUUCUUGGUCAUAUGGCACCGCUUGAAAAGUAAGAGCAUGUUGCUUUGCCAGCUCAUUAGCUUGACAUAUUUUUAUUGCACUUGCCAGUGUGAGAUCCGCUUCCCUCAACAGCUUUUCUCUUAGCUUCUUUUCAUUUGUCCCAUAAACAAUCUGAUCCCUUAUCAUUGAGUUUUUUAGAUCACCAAAGUUGCAGGACUGAGCUUUUAUUUUGAGAUCGGUGAGAUAAUUAUCAAACGACUCACCAGGCUGUUGGAGACGAGAACGAAAUACAUAUCUCUCGUAUGUUUCAUUUUUCUUCGAAAGACAGUGUUCAUCAAACUUCUUUAGGACCUC